GUGUCGGGAUAUAUAAUUGGGGUCUCAGGAUGGGGUCUGGGCAUUAAGCUCGGCAAAGACUCUGCUGGAAUCACCUACCACAAACACAGGGACCUCGCAAUCGCCCUCUUCUGCCUGGCCACAGUUCAGGUACUCGAUGUUUACAUACGAGCUAAGCAUUCCAUGUGUAUCCACAUCACGUUCAUCGAGAACGAUCUCAUGGAUGAUCUCCGUGUGAACUCAUGCAAAAUGAGGUUGGCACCGAACCAAAGCGAGGCUGAGGACAAGUUAAUGUUUUUUGGUGUGCAGGUGUUUGCAUUGUUUCUGAGGCCCAACAAGGAUCACAAGUACAGACUCUACUGGAAGAUCUACCACCUCGCAGUUGGGUACAGCAUCGUAAUCUUGAGUGUGGUGAACAUCUUCGAAGGUUUCGACAUCUUGGAUCCUGCUAAGAAGUGGAAGCGUGCUUACGUUGCCAUCAUCGUGACGCUGGGCGCCAUUGCACUGGUUCUGGAAGCCGUCACUUGGGCUAUAUAUCUGAAGAGAAGGCAGAGGGAAUCCGAGAAGUCUCACCACGGUGCCAAUGGUGCAAACGGGUACGGUGUCAGGGAACAUGAGAUGCUGUAGACGACAGCGAGAGACAUGUUAUUGCACAGAGAGGGGGUCACGAGGAGAUCUCGCUGUAGAGAGAGAGAGAGAGAGAGAGAUGCUGUUGGCAGAGUGAGCAGUAGUGUUUUGAUUUGGCACACAGAGAUGCGACUACCUCAGCCAUGCUUGUGAUUUCCUCUUGGAGGAGCUACAUGUCUUUCUCUUUCUUUUUGCUUCUUCAUUGUAUUGUAGUUUCUU
rnacentral:lncRNA from 1 species